rnacentral:misc_RNA from 1 species
GUGAAUCAUCAAAUCUUUGAACGCAAAUUGCACUCUCUGCGGAUAGUAUGGCUGUUUGAGUGUGAGCCUAAAAAAAAUCGACAUAGUUGCUGUUACUCGGUAACAGUUGUUGGAAAGUGGGUCAUCUUAAACCUUUGGGUUUAAGCGGCUUAAUAUUGUCUUGAAGAUUCCAAGAACGGUUCUAAAAUUUUAUUUUCUUAUGUGAUUAAGGUA